rnacentral:rRNA from 1 species
AUGGAUAGGCUAGAUGGCUCUGCGCGCCUUAUGAUCGUUUCGGAUCUUGACCAGACGAUGGUUGAUCACUGUGAUCCAGAGAACUCGGCCUUGCUCCGUUUCGAGGCGCUCUGGGAGUCUGAGUACUCCCAGGAUUCUCUGCUGGUGUUCUCAACUGGAAGAACGCCGGUCAGUUACAAGGGUCUGAGGAAAAGAAAGCCUUUGCUCACACCGGACAUCACCAUCAUGUCUGUGGGCACUGUGAUAGCAUAUGGCCAGGAGAUGACUCCGGAUGUUGGCUGGGAGGAAUUUCUGAAUAACAAGUGGGAUAGGGAUAUUGUUGUUCAGGAGACAGCUAAGUUCCCUCAGCUAAAGCCACAGCCAGAGAGGAAUCAGGGUCCUCAUAAGGUCAGCUUCUUCGUCGACAAGCAGGGUGCUCAGGAAGUGAUUAAUUAUCUUCCUCAAAAACUGGAACAGCUUGGGCUAUAUGUGAAGAUAAUCUAUAGUAGCGGAGAGGCCCUAGAUGUAUUGCCACGAGGUGCAGGGAAAGGGCAAGCUCUUAUAUAUUUACUCGAGAAGUUCAGUUCGAGCGGAAAACCACCGAGCAAUGUUCUUGUGUGUGGUGACUCUGGCAAUGAUGCAGAUUUAUUCAGCGUUCCAUCUGCCUAUGGUGUCAUGGUUAGCAAUGCCCAAGAGGAGCUUCUUCAGUGGUAUGAAGAGAAUGGAAAAGAUAACCUUAAGUUGCUUCAUGCAACUGAGAGAUGCGCUUCCGGUAUCAUGCAAGCUAUCGGUCACUUCAAACUAGGGCCUAGUUUUUCUGUAAGAGAUCUUGAAUUCCCAUAUCUGAAGGUAGACACCAUCAAGCCUGCAGAUGUGGUGGUGAAAUUCUAUGUUCUUUACGAGAAGUGGCGGAGGGGUGAGGUUCAGAAGUCUCCAUCAGUUGUACAAUACUUGAAAAGCAUUACUCUCCAGAAUGGCACACUGAUACAUCCUUGUGGAAUGGAGCGGUCACUUCAUGCAUCCAUUGAUGCACUGAGUUCAUGCUAUGGUGACAAACAAGGCCAAAAGUUCCGAGCAUGGGUGGACCGACUUUUUACAUCGCCGAUCAGUACAAGUAACUGGUUGGUGAGGUUUGAUAACUGGGAAAUGGAAGGUGAUGUGCAAUAUUGCUGCCGGACAACUCUUCUGCUGAAUACGAAGCCUGAGACUCCAGAGGGCUUGGAACUGACACACAUCCACAAGACCUGGCUUGAAGGAUACUCAGCUGGGAAUGAUCAUACCUUCAUCUUAUAG